AAAGGAAGAACAGGCCUUAGACACUGGAGCCACUCGAGGCAAAUUUCCACAUCCGCAGUAGGAACGCCCACCGCCACCUCCAUCCAUCUCCAGUUACAAAAGAGGAAAGCUUGGUACUAGUGUCGAUCUGUUUACAUUUCCGUAAAGUUCAACUCCCUGUUAUUUCCACAGGCAGCAGAUGUUGGCAGCACAUCCAGGCCCCCAAAGUACAAUUUCAGAGAGGCCAAACCUAAGGAAGAAAGAAGCCAGGAGAGGCUGCCAGGUGCCCGGUGUACAAUCCUAUACCACAGGGUUGCCACUCAACCCAU